UACCGAGGUCUCGAGCGUUCGGCGGAAUCACUGGGCUUAAAGCGUGUGUAGGCGGAUCGGUAAGUACCUUGUGAAAUCCCACAGCUUAACUGUGGAACUGCUUGGUAUACUGCCAGUCUUGAGCCAGCUAGGGGCUACCGGAACAAAUGGUGGAGCGGUGAAAUGCGUAGAUAUCAUUUGGAACGCCAAUGGUGAAAACAGGUAGCUGGGGCUGUGCUGACGCUGAGACACGAAAGCCAGGGGAGCGAACGGG
rnacentral:rRNA from 1 species